rnacentral:rRNA from 1 species
GACGAACGCUGGCGGCGUGCUUAACACAUGCAAGUCGAACGGGGAAAGCGGAGCUUGCUCCGCUGGAUCAGUGCCGAACGGGUGAGUAACACGGGGGCAACCUGCCCCUCACUUCGGGAUAACUCCGGGAAACCGGGGCUAAUACCGGAUAUGACCUCCUUGGGCAUCCUAGGAGGUGGAGAGUUUUUCGGUGAGGGAUGGGGCCGCGGCCUAUCAGCUUGUUGGUGGGGUAGUGGAUCACCAAGGCGGCGACGGGUAGCCGGCCUGAGAGGGCGACCGGCCACACUGGGACUGAGACAGGGCCCAGACUCCUACGGGAGGCAGCAGUGGGGAAUAUUGCGCAAUGGGCGAAAGCCUGACGCAGCAACGCCGCGUGCGGGAUGACGGCCUUCGGGUUGUAAACCGCUUUCAGCAGGGAAGAAGCCGCAAGGUGACGGUACCUGCAGAAGAAGCACCGGCUAACUACGUGCCAGCCGCCGCAGUAAAAC